UACGUAGGGGGCAAGCGUUGUCCGGAAUUAUUGGGCGUAAAGAGCGUGUAGGCGGCCCGGUAAGUCCGCUGUGAAAGUCCAAGGCUCAACCCUGGGAUGCCGGUGGAUACUGUCGGGCUCGAGUCCGGAAGAGGAGUGUGGAAUUCCUGGUGUAGCGGUGAAAUGCGCAGAUAUCAGGAAGAACACCCGUGGCGAAGGCGGCUCUCUGGGACGGUACUGACGCUGAGACGCGAAAGCGUGGGGAGCGAACAGG
rnacentral:rRNA from 1 species